CAACCCUCAAGCCUGGCUUGGUGUUGGGGCUCUGCAUCUGCAGUCCCUUAAAUCCAGUGGCGGACACGCUAGGUCUCCGAGCGCAGUAGUUUCUUCUCGCUUCGGGCGUCCGGCGUGGGCUUGCCUCGCACCCAAUUUUUACAA
rnacentral:misc_RNA from 1 species